rnacentral:tRNA from 2 species
CAUGGAGUGGAUCAAUGGCAGAUCGCCCGGCUCCGGACCGGGAGGGUGCAGGUUCGAAUCCUGCCUCCAUGU